UACGAAGGGGGCUAGCGUUGCUCGGAAUCAUUGGGCGUAAAGCGCGUGUAGGCGGUCCGGUAAGUCCGCUGUGAAAGUCGGGGGCUCAACCCUCGAAUGCCGGUGGAUACUGUCGGGCUAGAGUGCGGAAGAGGCGAGUGGAAUUCCUGGUGUAGCGGUGAAAUGCGCAGAUAUCAGGAGGAACACCAAUUGCGAAGGCGGCUCGCUGGGACGUUACUGACGCUGAGACGCGAAAGCGUGGGGAGCAAACAGG
rnacentral:rRNA from 1 species